rnacentral:rRNA from 1 species
GAUGAGCGCUGGCGUCGUGCCUAAUACAUGCAAGUCGAGCGAACGGACGAGAAGCUUGCUUUUCUGAUGUUAGCGGCGGACGGGUGAGUAACACGUGGAUAACCUACCUAUAAGACUGGGAUAACUUCGGGAAACCGGAGCUAAUACCGGAUAAUAUUUUGAACCGCAUGGUUCAAAAGUGAAAGACGGUCUUGCUGUCACUUAUAGAUGGAUCCGCGCUGCAUUAGCUAGUUGGUAAGGUAACGGCUUACCAAGGCAACGAUGCAUAGCCGACCUGAGAGGGUGAUCGGCCACACUGGAACUGAGACACGGUCCAGACUCCUACGGGAGGCAGCAGUAGGGAAUCUUCCGCAAUGGGCGAAAGCCUGACGGAGCAACGCCGCGUGAGUGAUGAAGGUCUUCGGAUCGUAAAACUCUGUUAUUAGGGAAGAACAUAUGUGUAAGUAACUGUGCACAUCUUGACGGUACCUAAUCAGAAAGCCACGGCUAACUACGUG